CUUUGCAAAGAGCUAUCAGUCACUAAUGUGUUGCCCUUUGUAUUCAAUUCAGUCAAAUCUGUUAAAAUGCAGAAAGAAAACCCACUUAAUGGUCAUUGUGAUUCCCAAUAUUUUGAAACUGGUCCUCCAAGGUAGUUUGACUGUCCAAAAACUACUGCAGCCUUCUUGUGUUGGGGUGGUCAAAUGAUGGUGAGAACAGCAUUUCUCAGGGAAUAGAGGCCGAACUGGAUGGUGACACUGGAAUCCCCUAGGAAAUGCAGAGAGUAUACAGCAAUGAGCAACUUAUUCCAGAAUUGGAGGCUGAUGGAUUUUUGUGUUUCCCAAGAAAAAGAGCAACAUUUUGUCAACGGGUGGCUUGCCUGAAACUUAUCUUAGUAACUAAACCAGGGAAGAAGAACAAGUGUACGAGCUUACACUAGGUUUAAGAGGACUUUGGAUUAGAUUGAGGAUGGUAGCCAGUCAGCAUUAUACAUAAUCUCCCAUGAUCAACACAUCAUUCACGAGUAGGAUGUUGUAUUCUGUAAUGCUCGGUAUUGAGUGGAUCAAUUGCACUAUUUUUAAGCCUAUGUUCAGCGAUGCCUGAUGAUUAUACAGUCAGUCUUCUAUUCUUCAAUUAUACUUUUUGGGUCCAGUUGAUCCUAGAUUCGAGGGGAUUUGAAGAUGAAUUAUUAUUCAUGAUUAACUCAUGAAUGCAGUUCAUUUUUUGCUGAAAUACUGUUGUUUUGUUUGACUUCACAUGAUCUAUUUGAACGUCUCCCACGGAGUUUCAAAAACACAUCAAUAUCAACAUUCUGUAUUUCUCCUGUUCCAUUUACUUUGGCAAAAGGAAGCCCGUCUAGGCAUGGCAGAGCAAGAGCAGAGUUGUAGUCCCAUUAAAUAAUCACAACUCGGUAAUAGUAUUUGCUAUUAUUUGUUUAAUGUUACAUUAAUUGUUGCUUUUUUAUCUUUACCAUUACCAGGAAAAGCCUGCCCUAGCCAUUUAUGGUAAAGUAUUGUCUACCUUUUUCUUUAAAUGUGUUUGAGCACAUUUCAUUAACUGUAGAAUAUAAUAACUAAAAUAUCCAUCUGUUUGCAAACGUAACAUUAUAUAUCUAUAUUAAACUAUAGGUCAACGGUGAAGCCGUAACCUCCUUCAUUGAAGUAGGUGCAUGGUGAAUCCGGAUCUCAUUGGUUUUCUUAGAAAAGUAUAUAUUAAGCUACAGGUCAACGGUGAAGCCGUAACCUCCUUCAUUGAAGUAGGUGCAUGGUGAAUCCGGAUCUCAUUGGCUAACGUAAAUUCUGUGAAAAUGAAAGUCAUUCUUUUUUGGUAUUGCAAAAAUGUGGCACUUUUGAUGUGCCACGUCCGGCUCUCAUGAGCGACGGUUGGGUCCCUAAAUUUGCUGCUGUUGGGAAGCAGUAAAUACCUAUGCCCACCUCCUCGUGGUGGGACCUGGAGUGAAAAUGUGAUUCUCAUCCACCUAUUCACACGAACGGGCAAGGUCAAAGAUUCCCAACUUCCUUUGGUUUGUGUUUAAAGUUGUAAUGUCAAUGUCUUAUUUAACAACUUUUUUAUUACUGUAAUACUUCAUAGUUCUGUUAAUAAUCAUUCUUCUUGUAGUUGUGUUUUAUUUUUACAGAGCACACAGUGGUCUUUCCCAAUUUCAGCAGCAGACCGCCUGUUUUUCAAGUAAACCAUUCAAGACGUAUACUUGAGCUGCUGUUCACAACAAGGAAUGCUGUUGUAACUAUGUAGUUCUGGUCACUCUAUUCCCUAUCUGCACUGUGGCAGGGGUACUAUUUAUUAUCACUUUUGUGAAGUAAUGUUAGCAUGGCUUAAUUUUCUUGUAACUUCCUGUAGCGGUCAUGUAUGUGCAUGUUGGGAUAGGAUAAAAUUCUUCAUUCAUUGUCAUUGGGGGCUAGUUUGUGCAAUAUGGUGCAGUUCCAUUUUUCAUUGUAUCCACUUCCACAUUUUUGUCAAAAGUAUCCAAAUAUUCAAUAGUUCAUAUAUUUAGAUGUUUAGUUUUGUGGCCUUUUAGAAAGUUGAAAUGGUUCAAUAUUCAGUAAAAUUUUAUGUGUUUUGAGACAUUUUCAAUAGUAAAUUGUUUUCCAAGUUGGGAAUUGAGGUUCAUGUCAUAAGCCAUUAUGACAGCACCCUGUUAUUAACAGUAUGAGCCCCAUGUGGCCACACAUAUGGCCACACUAAACUCUAACAUUCCUUGUUUUCUCAACUCCCUCACUGUUUCUGCAUUAUUAAUAUUUUAAUGCAGUGCAAUUUAAUCAUGUAUUAAUUGUUUCCCUGCACUAAUAAGUGUUACUGUUUUGUCAACAGAUGUUUAAAUCCAUUGGAACAUUGUUAUGGGGAGGGGGAGGGGGAGGGGGGGGGCAAAAAAAGGAAGGCGGCUGAAAGCUCUUCGUCUUCCUCCUCCUCCUACGAGGAGGAGACAACAACGGAGGAGGAAGAGGAGGAAGACCAGAAGGCGACAAUCCAGGCGGAGGUCGAUAGGAGGUUGCUGCAGCUGCAACAGCAACAGCAGCAACAGCAGCAACAGCAGCAACAGCAGCAACAGCAGCAACUGCAGCAACAGCAGCAGCAGCAGAUUCAGCAGCAGCUACAGCAGCUGCACAUACAGCAGCAGCAUCAGCAGCAUCAGCAGCAGCAGCUGUUGGCUGCCGCUUCAAUGCCCUGGAACGCUCGGCCGGCGUGGCGCGGCCGUGGCCGUGGAGGAGGAGGAGGCCGUUUCGG